rnacentral:lncRNA from 1 species
CCAUUUUCUACUUAGGUCGAAUAUUAAUUGGUGGAGCGAAACAACUCUUUUUACAAACUGCCCAUCUCUGCAGAGGGUCUGCCGACCGAUGGGCUGGAGUCAUACAUCAUGGAAUAAAUUUUCAAAAGGAUUAGACUCGAGAAUAGGAUCGAAUUCUCUAGGAUGGAAAGCCGAUGCAUUUUCAUGCAGUUACGAUUUCUUUGUGUAUGAUGAUUUUAGCAACAUAUUUCCGCAAAUAGUAACGAAUAGGCUAUAUUUCGUAUCUUAUUAAAAUCGGCCGGAUGGCCGCGUGAUAAAGCAGUCGCUUACCAUCUUGAGCAGUGAUAUCAAGCUCAUUUUCUUCAAACAGCCACUUUAAGCAUCUUUGGUUAGUUGGGAACGGCAUUUAAAAUUAAUAUCUGACGUAUAAUAAAGAAAUUUUUUUACAUGAGAGAACAUAAUCAAUUCUAUUUAACUACUAAUAUUUUAAUUACCUUAAAGUGAUAUGUCCCAAUUCAUGUUCAAAAUUAUAUAAAAGCUGCUAUUAUAAAAGUGUGAAGUUAAAGUUUUGUAUUGAAAAAUUUUGUUUUAGUAAAUUUUAAUAUAAUUUACAAAAGUAAGCCUACUUUAAGGUGAUAUACAGAUGUUUCAUGAAAAACGAUUGCAAUUUUUAUUUUUUGAAUAUCUUUUAUAUACUGAUACGAUUAUAAUUACGAUGCGGGCUGCAAUAAAGUACGUAUCAGGCUGCGAGUUAGAGUAUUCAGGUUCAUUUCCGGGUUUCACAACUCCGUAUUUUUUUCAGAAGGUGUCCAAGCCCGACUCAUUGAAUUCCAUAUUCAAAUCUAGUUGACUUCAUUACGGGAAUUGGAAAUGCGUCAUUGGUCCUGAAGUGACUGCUCUCGAUCAUAUAUUUCUGAGAUUUAACGUCAUAAAUUAAAACUAAGCGAAAACUUACGUAUGAAAAGGCGAAGUUUAUUUUCAGUGUACGUGUAAUGAUAAGUUUCUCCAGUUCAUCAAUAAUUAUGUUUAUAUGCUUCAGAAUUAUUUUAUCCAUUAUAGAAUGC